AGGGAAUGGGGGAGGGGGGACGAGCUGAACCGCCGCUCGUCGAGCGAAGCUGGAGGCUUGUGGCGCUGGGCUGGAGGCCAAGGAUGCAGUCCAAGAAAGUUCUAAAAAUAUAUCAUCAGGUCCAACUUGGUAGUUGACCUAGCCAUGGAAAGCCUCAUUGGAUCCUCACUGGGUCAGACCAUAACUGGCAUUCUUAAAAACUCUUCCCAUCAUAAAGUAUCAAGAAGGAAAAUGUAGGAUAUAUACCUACCACUUCAAGAAAGCUCCUGUACCAGCCAACAGACUAACAGAUUAGCUAGCUGCUUUGAUCGUCAAGCAGAUGUACUCAAGCUCAGCACAGCACAGGAAAAAUCUCUCUGAACAUUUUUCACAUUCUGUGUGUGACCUAUUAGCAGGUCAUGAAAUCAGUUCUAAAGAGGAAAAAUGAAGUGAAAUGUGCAGACACUUGUUCAAGUUCAGCUGCUGCACCUGGAAAUGUGAAUAGUGACCAUGUUGAGAGAAAUACUGUAAUCUGCAAACUUCAACCUCGUUUGAGCCACAUUUCAAAAAGAAAAAGAAGAGAAGUUUGAAACGUUAAGAGAAAACAGCUGGGUGAAAGAUCCCUUUGCUUUUCGAAACCCAGAAUCGGUAAUUGAGUUAAACUUGGUGCCUGAAGAAGAGAGUGAAUUACUGCAGCUCAGUUCCUCAUAUACAUUGAAGACUGACUACGAAGCAUUAACAGUAUCGGCAUUUUGGAUUAAGAUUUUGUCUUCUAUCAAAGGUGAUUUUUUUUACUUGCCUUUUUGGGACUCGAAAUAAAGUGUUGGAAUACAGUUCCCCAGGAAUAUCUCACAUGUCUGCUCAGCGUGGAUUCUCUGAAUGAAGAGUAAUGGAUAAUCUCCCUGGAGACGAGGAUGGGAAGAUAUACCAGCAACCCCACAAAACCCUAGAGUCUAAUGUCAUGCAACCCACUGCAUGAUGGAGAGGUGACAUCUGAUCCUUACCAUGUCACACUGUGGGAGUUGGGGUAUGGGGAGCUAACAAACAAAACUGAUGUGUCUGCUUCUUUUUUUUU